AAAGAAUUAGUUAAAUAAUAUAACAUAAAAAUGUCAAAUUUAAAUUAUUACUAAGGUAAUAUUCUUUU
rnacentral:tRNA from 1 species